UACGUAGGGGGCUAGCGUUGUCCGGAAUCAUUGGGCGUAAAGCGCGCGUAGGCGGCCCGGUAAGUCCGCUCUGAAAGUCCAGGGCUCAACCCUGGAAAGCGGGUGGAUACUGCCGGGCUAGAGUCCGGAAGAGGCGAGUGGAAUUCCCGGGUGUAGCGGUGAAAAUGCGCAGAUAUCGGGAGGAACACCAUGGCGAAGGCAGCUCGCUGGGACGUGACUGACGCUGAGACGCGAAAGCGUGGGAGCGAACAGG
rnacentral:rRNA from 1 species